rnacentral:rRNA from 1 species
AUGGGCACGGAGGGAGCCAAGCACACGCACAUCAGGUUCAGGCUCCAGGUCGACAUGCAGUGCCGGUGCAUGGGCUGCAUCGACAAGAUCGACAAGGCCAUGGCCGCCAUCCGAACCUUCACAGGGGUUGAAACGUCGGUGGGAGACGUCGGGACUGGGGUCGUGGCCGUGGCGGGGAAGGUGGACCCGGCCGAGCUCUGCCAGUGGCUCAAGAGGAAGACGAGGAAGGACGUCAAGAUCGUCCGCCCUCGUCGACCGUCUGACAAUCGCAAUAAGCAGAAAAGAAGCAGGGACACGCCGCCUUCAGCUCCACCGUUACCGCAACACUUGUCCAGGGCUCUACCGACGUCAAGAGUUCACUCUGACCACAAGGAUCUGCAUCUGAUUGAGAAGAAGAUCAGGGACCUCGACAAGGCCAGGGAUACGUUGAAGAUGAGGAACCUGAAGAAUGAGCUGACUGCUACCAGGUGUGAGCUCAAACAGUCAAGAGAAGCGAUCAGCAAUGGCAAGAAGGCUCUCCUAGAUGGUGCUCUGAUCCAGCUCCACGCGUACAAGAAACUAGAAUCACUCAGUCGGCUCACUAUAUGA